UCCCCUGUAGCUCAAUUGGCAGAGCAGCCGGCUGUUAACCGGAGGGUUACUGGUUCGAGUCCAGUCGGGGGAG
rnacentral:tRNA from 1 species